rnacentral:tRNA from 1 species
GCGAGGGUUGCCCAGCCAGGUCAAAGGCGCCAGACUUAAGAUCUGGUAACGAAGGUUUUCGUGGGUUCGAAUCCCACCCCUCGCA